GGAUGUGAGGGCGAUCUGGGCUGCGACAUCUGUCACCCCAUUUGAUCGCCAGGGUUGAUCUGGCUGACUUGGCUGACUAGGCAGGUGUCCCCCUCCUCCCUCACUGCUCCAAUGUGCGUCCUCCGAAGCUGCUCUCUGUUGAGAAGACGCUUCCCAAAUAGAGACGACUGUCUUCAGUCGAGGUAUAGAGUAGCUGCGCUCCCUGCUAGAACCUCCAAACAAGCUCUCAAGGUCCUAGCUGUGACCAUGGACUGAGAGCUCAGACUGACAGGGAUGCAGAAGUUACACAGGAUCCUGUGCUA
rnacentral:snRNA from 1 species